GUGUAGAGUACUGCGUCACAGCUGACCGCUUUCCGCUGGACUCGCGUGCCUUGUGGAGUCGUGAUGGGAUCCACCUGAGUGACGAUCUGGGGAUGCCGCUUCUCGCGAAGCUUCUGUGGCACUUCUCCUUUCGGCAGCUACAGUCACCUCUGCCUGUUACACCUCCGCCUGUGUCUCCUCCCAAGUCACCCCCGACUGUGAGACCCUUUGCUACCACCGUGGUUGUGAAGGGAGAGGUUUCACGUCCACGUCCCCUUGACCCCUUCAAGGAAACUGUCGUCGGACGUCGCGGAAAGGUAAAAGUUAUACAAUUUUGAAGAGCUUUAGUUUUAGUUAGGCCACAUUUAUUGAAUACUAAUUCCCCCUAUGUGUUUAUAGCGCAGCCAACCUGAGUCCUGGGAUGCGCCUGAGGACUGGGAUCAGUCUUCCGUGCGGAUCCUUCCUCAUGAGGUUUGUACAUUGGUAUGAUAGCUGAUAGGAAAUUAAACCGUAAUGAUGCGUACAUUUGUUGUUUCAUUUAAAUGCUAUUCCUAUAAGACAAGGCAAAUGGUCAAUGGCUCAAUUCUGCUUUUUAUUUCUAGGUUUGUGUGCCUCCUCUGGUCCUGAGGGAGUGCUUUGUCGUGCUAAACCCUAUCCGGUUUAGCACUGACAAGUUGGCUGCAAUGGAUCGCAUUGUUCCAUCCAACCUUGACGUCCCCAUGGGGAAUCGCUCAAAGGUAAUUUGUGUGAUUUUAAUAACUGUUGGUGAGUGCAUACAUAUUAAUAGCACCUGUAAUCCUAUAUGACAAGCUUUACAUUGUAUGGUACAGAUAGUUGCAUUGAUAAUAAAAGUGUUAUAUUUCAUUAACUGUUAUCAUUUCCGUUCUCUUCCAUUAUGAUAGAAACGGAAGGUGGCACAUGGAACCACGGCUGUGGUCUCCAAAGGAAAGAAGGCCCGCCUUGAGGCACUUCAAACUCCAGCAAGGAUUGCCAAACCUUCGAAGCUGGUACCUCCCCCUCGACCUGUUCCAGAAGCUGCUGUACCAGCUACUCUGGAGGGCGUACCUCCUCCUCGACCUGUUCCAGAAGCUGCUGUGCCAGCCACUCUGGAGGGCAGCGUCUUUGUGCAUUCGAGCAAGUUUGCUCAACCGGAGGGGGAUGACAAGACUCUGUGUGUUGAUGAGUGGCCGUUUCUUCAAACAGAGUUUUUUGAGAAGGUGAACCAGCCAACUGCUCGGGUUGUCUCUGGACAGAGAAAACAAGAGGAGCCAACACCUUGGGGACCAAAAGUUGUGAUGGCCCAGGCUGAUAAACCAACAGCCAAUGAGACCAGCUUCUUGGGAUGUUCAACCAAGGUAAUGACAACAAUAUAAAAAAUGAUUUGCAAAUAAGCAAUCAAUCUG
rnacentral:lncRNA from 1 species